rnacentral:rRNA from 1 species
AGUACGAUCGCAAGAUUAAAACUCAAAGGAAUUGACGGGGCCCCGCACAAGCAGCGGAGCAUGCGGCUUAAUUCGACGCAACGCGAAGAACCUUACCAAGGCUUGACAUAUACAGGAAUAUGGCAGAGAUGUCAUAGCCGCAAGGUCUGUAUACAGGUGGUGCAUGGUUGUCGUCAGCUCAUGUCGUGAGAUGUUGGGUUAAGUCCCGCAACGAGCGCAACCCUCGUUCUGUGUUGCCAGCAUUUAGUUGGGGACUCACAGGAGACUGCCGGGGUUAACUCGGAGGAAGGUGGGGAUGACGUCAAAUCAUCAUGCCCCUUAUGUCUUGGGCUGCACGCAUGCUACAAUGGCUGGUACAAACGGCUGCGAUACCGCAAGGUGGAGCGAAUCCGAGAAAGCCAGUCUCAGUUCGGAUUGGGGUCUGCAACUCGACCCCAUGAAGUCGGAGUUGCUAGUAAUCGUAGAUCAGCAACGCUACGGUGAAUACGUUCCCGGGGCUUGUACACACCGCCCGUCACAUCACGAAAGUCGGUAACACCCAAAGUCAGUGGCCCAACCGCAAGGAGGGAGCUGCCAAAGGUGGGAUCGGUGAUUGGGAUG